UCAGUCGACUCCUACGGGGAGGCAGCAGUAAGGAAUAUUGGUCAAUGGAGGGAACUCUGAACCAGCCAUGCCGCGUGCAGGAAGACAGCCCUCUGGGUCGUAAACUGCUUUAUUCGGGAAUAAACCUUUCUACGUGUAGGAAGCUGAAUGUACCGAAGGAAUAAGGAUCGGCUAACUCCGUGCCAGCAGCCGCGGUAAUACGGAGGAUCCAAGCGUUAUCCGGAUUUAUUGGGUUUAAAGGGUGCGUAGGCGGCUUAUUAAGUCAGGGGUGAAAGACGGUGGCUCAACCAUCGCAGUGCCCUUGAUACUGAUGAGCUUGAAUACACUAGAGGUAGGCGGAAUGUGACAAGUAGCGGUGAAAUGCAUAGAUAUGUCACAGAACACCGAUUGCGAAGGCAGCUUACUAUGGUGUUAUUGACGCUGAGGCACGAAAGCGUGGGGAUCAAACAGGAUUAGAUACCCUGGUAG
rnacentral:rRNA from 1 species